GACGAACGCUGGCGGCGUGCUUAACACAUGCAAGUCGAACGGAAAGGCCCUGCUUUUGUGGGGUGCUCGAGUGGCGAACGGGUGAGUAACACGUGAGUAACCUGCCCUUGACUUUGGGAUAACUUCAGGAAACUGGGGCUAAUACCGGAUAGGAGCUCCUGCUGCAUGGUGGGGGUUGGAAAGUUUCGGCGGUUGGGGAUGGACUCGCGGCUUAUCAGCUUGUUGGUGGGGUAGUGGCUUACCAAGGCUUUGACGGGUAGCCGGCCCGAGAGGGUGACCGGCCACAUUGGGACUGAGAUACGGCCCAGACUCCUACGGGAGGCAGCAGUGGGGAACAUUGCACAAUGGGCGGAAGCCUGAUGCAGCAACGCCGCGUGCGGGAUGACGGCCUUCGGGUUGUAAACCGCUUUCGCCUGUGACGAAGCGUGAGUGACGGUAAUGGGUAAAGAAGCACCGGCUAACUACGUG
rnacentral:rRNA from 1 species